rnacentral:misc_RNA from 1 species
GGUCCACUCAUUGUACAAAUUCCUGCAGGCAAACCAUAAAGAAACUAUGAGCAUUAAAUCCACCUCCAGUGCCCGGGGCAUUGUUUGUUCUUUCCUUUGAAUCAUGGAUCAGGGAUAGCAAUUGUAUUGAAACAAAUAGUAAAAUAAAAUCUUGCCAGAUUGCACUAAGCAGCAAUGGACAGUGUUUGGCAUGGUUACCUAUCUUUUAGGAUAACAGCUAC